GACGAACGCUGGCGGCGUGCUUAACACAUGCAAGUCGAGCGGUAAGGCCCUUUCGGGGGUACACGAGCGGCGAACGGGUGAGUAACACGUGGGUGACCUGCCCUCAGCUCUGGGAUAAGCCUGGGAAACUGGGUCUAAUACUGGAUAUGACUCCACGGUGCAUGUCGUGGGGUGGAAAGCCUUGUGCGACUGAGGAUGGGCCCGCGGCCUAUCAGCUUGUUGGUGGGGUGANGGCCUACCAAGGCGACGACGGGUAGCCGGCCUGAGAGGGCGACCGGCCACACUGGGACUGAGACACGGCCCAGACUCCUACGGGAGGCAGCAGUGGGGAAUCUUGCGCAAUGGGCGAAAGCCUGACGCAGCGACGCCGCGUGAGGGAUGACGGCCUGG
rnacentral:rRNA from 1 species